CAGCAGCCACGGGAAUACAGAGGCCUCAAGCGUUGUUCGGAUUCAUUGGGCGUAAAGGGAGCGUAGGCGGUCGGGUAAGUCGGAUGUGAAAUCUUGGGGCUCAACCUCAAAACCGCAUUCGAUACUGCUUGGCUAGAGGAAUGGAGAGGAAAGUGGAAUUCCUAGUGUAGCGGUGAAAUGCGUAGAUAUUGGGAGGAAUACCAGUGGCGAAGGCGACUUUCUGGACUGCAACUGACACUGAGGCACGAAAGCGUGGGGAGCAAACAGGAUUAGAUACCCCAGUAGUCCCUGUCUCUUAUAC
rnacentral:rRNA from 1 species